rnacentral:rRNA from 1 species
CUCCACCCGAGACUCAGUGAAAUUGAACUCGCUGUGAAGAUGCAGUGUACCCGCGGCAAGACGGAAAGACCCCGUGAACCUUUACUAUAGCUUGACACUGAACAUUGAGCCUUGAUGUGUAGGAUAGGUGGGAGGCUUUGAAGCGUGGACGCCAGUCUGCGUGGAGCCGACCUUGAAAUACCACCCUUUAAUGUUUGAUGUUCUAACGUGGAUCCGUAAUCCGGGUUGCGGACAGUGUCUGGUGGGUAGUUUGACUGGGGCGGUCUCCUCCUAAAGAGUAACGGAGGAGCACGAAGGUUGGCUAAUCCUGGUCGGACAUCAGGAGGUUAGUGCAAUGGCAUAAGCCAGCUUGACUGCGAGCGUGACGGCGCGAGCAGGUGCGAAAGCAGGUCAUAGUGAUCCGGUGGUUCUGAAUGGAAGGGCCAUCGCUCAACGGAUAAAAGGUACUCCGGGGAUAACAGGCUGAUACCGCCCAAGAGUUCAUAUCGACGGCGGUGUUUGGCACCUCGAUGUCGGCUCAUCACAUCCUGGGGCUGAAGUAGGUCCCAAGGGUAUGGCUGUUCGCCAUUUAAAGUGGUACGCGAGCUGGGUUUAGAACGUCGUGAGACAGUUCGGUCCCUAUCUGCCGUGGGCGCUGGAGAACUGAGGGGGGCUGCUCCUAGUACGAGAGGACCGGAGUGGACGCAUCACUGGUGUUCGGGUUGUCAUGCCAAUGGCACUGCCCGGUAGCUAAAUGCGGAAGAGAUAAGUGCUGAAAGCAUCUAAGCACGAAACUUGCCCCGA